GCAUUGUGAGCAGGAUGGCAUGGCCGUGACACUGGCCCUUGGACAGCUUCGUCAGGGACUGCCCUUGGCUUGUCAUUUUCUCCCAGGCCACUUCGAGAGGGUUUGGGGCAGAACUUGAGCCUACACUUCAGCCCAGUUGCCUGCUGCUGCGUCUGCCAGAGAUUGCCAAGUCUCUCCCCACCCAAAUGUCCUCAGCAUGGGACUAAUCAAAGUGAACAGAGCUAACUGACUAAACUUCAGGACUAGACACCAGCCCAGGAGGCUCAUGUUAGGGUGAGGGGAGUGAUGAGAACCAGAGCAGCUCUUCUCUUCCUGGGGGGAGGCGUUCCAGUGUGUGUGGUGGAGGCCUGUCCUAGGGCUCAUUACAUCUACAGCGUCAGUGUUUAUUCCCACGCAGGAAGAACGUGAUGACCACACAGACCACGGUGAAAUGGAAAUGAUACAUCAACGCAGGAACAAAGCCAUCCACAAAAGAAAGCAGUAAAUCUCUCUAAGGCUGUAUUCAUCAAUAUGAGUGCACUCAGAAAGUCCCUGAGGACUCUCUUCAUUUGUCCACAAGUUACUCAGAAAGUCCAGAAAUCCACUGACCUUUGUUAAGAAGCACCACCAGGCCCCUUCCUCCCCAACACAGAAAGAGCAGAAAGAACCGAGUCCCUGAAUUAGUGCAGCAGGUCCAGAUGCAUGGGCAGGACUUCUGUGAACCACGUUCGCUUCCCAGCGAUGAAAUGGAGCCUCUGGGCUUUAAGCCAUCCCUCAGGACCCCUGAACCAGGCCUGACCCCAAGCAGAACGUGCCAGUGGUGAGCCUGCCCUGUCAUACUUCUGAGCUGGGCGGGCUCCAGCCCUCCCUCACAGGCCCGAGAGGCCACCGGAGGUGAAACCUUUAGAGCCACCUCAGCAGGUGACUAAGGGCUAAUGAGACCCCGUCAGUGCACCAGGCCUGGGGCUGAGAGACUUUAUUUGCUGAUGACAACCCUGGAAGCUUUUUGAAUUUGCUUUCCUUCCCUAGCAUCGCAAGGCCACAGUGACCCCUUGUAAGAGCUCACAGUGAGGCACUCACGUUGUGUCAGCCUUGGGUUUCGCUGGAGGCUCAGCUGUCAGCUGUGGGGUUGGCUCAGGUGGCCGUCCCAUCUUCUGCUGUAUAGGAAUUCACGGUGCGGUGCCUCCUGCAAUGAGCAGAACAAGAACUACCACUUGCUAGGGAAGGGAGAUUUUUAAUCCAGGCCCCGAGGUCACUCUAAUCUGAGUGCUCUCUGAGGUCUGGCAGAAGGGAGGAAUUCUGUGGCACAUUCAUGAUGUGAUCAGAGGGAGGAUGGUGCCUGUGAAGAAGACAGAGGUGCCGCGCUGACCCUGUGUGCAGCCAACUCUGGGGAAGGCAGUAGGCAGAAGAGAAAGCCAGGGGCCCCAGGUCAGAGGUGUCAGGCACCGAAACAGGCAACCCCUUCUUGGGAAGGAAGGCUAAGGCACAGGGCAGCGAGGCCAGCACGGAGGGGCCGCUCAGCAGCCCCGGGCCGCGACCUCCACAGAUCAGCAGGCUGGAGCCAAGGUGUGCGUUCCUUUAGUGGGUUUUCAGUUGCAAAUUCUACAUCCUUUGUCCACUGUUUAACGAAAAAAUGACGUUUCCUGCCCUCAGCCCAGUGCUUUCUCACCCCCCAAUACCAUCCUACCAUCCUCAAAGGGAGCCGUUGUGAGGAGCGCAGUUUCUGUCCGUCCAGGUGUGCAUUUACCUCUGUAUCUGCAGACACAUUUUAUUAGAAGCAAAA
rnacentral:lncRNA from 1 species